AGAGCGAACGCUGGCGGCAGGCCUAACACAUGCAAGUCGAACGGAUCCUUCGGGAUUAGUGGCGGACGGGUGAGUAACACGUGGGAACGUGCCUUUUGGUUCGGAAUAACUCAGGGAAACCUGAGCUAAUACCGAAUGUGCCCUUCGGGGGAAAGAUUUAUCGCCAUUAGAGCGGCCCGCGUCUGAUUAGCUAGUUGGUAGGGUAAAGGCCUACCAAGGCUACGAUCAGUAGCUGGUCUGAGAGGAUGAUCAGCCACACUGGGACUGAGACACGGCCCAGACUCCUACGGGAGGCAGCAGUGGGGAAUCUUGCGCAAUGGGCGAAAGCCUGACGCAGCCAUGCCGCGUGAAUGAUGAAGGUUUUAGGAUUGUAAAAUUCUUUCACCGGGGACGAUAAUGACGGUACCCGGAGAAGAAGCCCGGCUAACUUCGUGCCAGCAGCCGC
rnacentral:rRNA from 1 species